rnacentral:tRNA from 1 species
AGGGUUUAAUGAUAACUGGCGUUAUUUACAGUUUUUCGAGUAAACUGUAUUGAAGUUCGAUUCUUCUAAACUCUU